rnacentral:misc_RNA from 1 species
GUAACCGGAAGUCGUAAUGUUUGUAAAUAAAUGCAGGCCCGAAAUAUUGAUAGAUUUUUGUGGUUAAUUCUCAUUUAAUUAACGAAUGUCAUUAUAGUUACUCGUUAAAUAAAGUACAGCUGAUAUACGAGUUUCAAAAGAAAGACCCGCAGGGAGAUGUCUUUAUCAAGCAUGAAUGCUCAUAAGUUGGUGCAUUUAGAUUUAAAAGGUGCUGCACCUAGGAUUGAAUACCUGCAAGUGUUGUUUCCUUUUCUUAAGAAGUUUGGAGCCACAGGGUUGUUGGUUGAAUAUGAAGACAUGUUCCCAUAUUCUGGUCCAUUGGAAGAAUUAGCCCAGAGAUAUGCUUACAGUAAGGACAACAUAGGGGAAUUUCUUCAGCUGGCCAAGGACAACUGCCUCACUGUUAUACCUCUAAUACAGACUUUUGGACAUUUUGAGUUUGUGUUGAAGCAUGAAAAAUUUAGAAGUUUAUGUGAGUUGGAAGGAUACCCAAGUGCACUGUGCCCAUCUAAUCCAGAUUCUUUGACUGCCAUAAGUAUGAUAAUAGACCAGGUGGUAGAUGCUCACCCUGCCAUACAACAUUUACAUAUCGGAGGGGAUGAGGUAUAUCAUCUUGGAGUAUGUGACAGAUGUAAGAAGAAGAUGGUGAUGGAGAACUUGACAGUACAGCAGCUGUUCUUUUCUCAUGUACGUGCUGUAUGUCUAUACAUCAAGGACAAAUACCCCCACCUCACUAUAAUAAUGUGGGACGAUAUGCUUCGAUUUCUAGAACUUCCCAUUCUAGCAGAGUCAGGUUUGGGAAACCUGGUGGAAAUCAUGAUAUGGCAUUACCUCCCUUCAUUCCUGCUACCCCCUGAUAUCUGGGAUCGUUUUUCUAAAGUGUUUCCCAACAUUUGGGUGGCCAGUGCCUUUAAAGGUGCCACAGGAGCUUGUAUGUAUGCUACGAAUAUUAUGUAUCAUAUAGACAAUCAUCUCACAUGGCUAAGUGUGCUAGAGAGAGUGAAAUCAAAGUUUGAAAACAUUCGAGGCAUUGCAGUCACAGGCUGGCAAAGGUAUGACCAUUAUGCUGUUUUGUGUGAGCUGUUGCCGCAAGCUCUGCCAUCACUGGUUACAUGUCUGUCUGUCAUCUACAGAGGAACAUUCACAGCUGAUAUUCAUUCACAUGUCACUCAACAACUCAAGUUUCAAGGUUUACUCCCACUCAAUCCAUUUGAUGGGAAGGACAUUCCAAUCUGUGAUUUUCCUGGUUCAGAUAUUUACACAGACACAAUAGAGCUUCUCAGAUUAGAAUCUGCCUAUGAGGAUUUCCUACAUAGUGAAGGGAGGUUGUCAUGGAUGAAUGAGUACCAUAUGCGAAGAAAUUUCACCAACCCCAUGCAUUUAGAGGCAUUACUAGCUCAAGCCGUCAGGUUACUUAGUGGCUUGAAACAACUACAUAAAAAGUUUCAGACGUCACUGAAGGCAAUAUAUUUUCCCGAUACUGUUGAUGAAUGGUGCAGUGUUUAUCUUAACCCAAAAAUAGAGAAAAUGACAGACAUUGUUGAACUAGCACGAAACCAAGAUCGAAAUUCAGGAUUGCAGACGUAGCAGUUUCAGCAUAACUUCAUUUGUAAUACUUGUUGUUGUUGUUGCUUUUGUCCCAGGAGCUUAGAAGCUUGAUUUACUGUAUGCAGACACGGUUUUACCAGUAAAUCUACAUUUAUUUGAAGUAGAUUUCAGUUAGGGGAAAAAUAAUUUUGAAACAACACAUUAAUUGGCAAUAAUAUAUUAUUUUAGAAUAUGUGAGGCACAUGAUGUGUACCUAGAUUAGGUUUCUCAUAGAUAUCAAUAGAUAUCACAUUGAAAGGUUUGUAAUCAUGUGCAACUUUUUGUGAUUGUUUGUUUUGAAUACAUCAGAGGUAUAGCGUAAUGACACAUAAGAUGUCAAAGUUGUGUUGGUUUAUUGAAAUUGUUAGAGGAAGUUGCAUCUACUAGAUGUGGUCAUUCUAUGCUUUUGAAAUAUUGUAUUAGUGGUACAAGUUACUAGGCAACCAUAUGAUCUUUGUCUUUUAAAUUAGCUUAUGUUAUAAGAUAGAUAUUCUUAAAAUGAUGAAAAGUCUUUAAUCAAAUAUGAACUCCUUCCUCAUUCUUCUGCAGCACAGUUUCACCACAGUGAUUGUAACAGAAAUGGUAACAUUAUGUGUUUCUAAAAAUAGCUUGAUAUAUGACAAGCGUUUUCAGGAACUGAAAAGAUUGAGGUGGGAGAAGAUCUUGUUAUUGCAAACAAAACAGAGAUUUAAUUAUGCCCGGGUUAUAUUGGGAUGUAAAUAAUUGCAAAACAGAACGAGAAAAUGGCCAUUUGAAAGAUGAGUUUAUCUUAUUUUAUUUAAAAAAUAAGCCCAAUUUGUUAGAUUGCUGAGAACACAAUCAUAAUAUCUUGAUACCGUAACAUGUCUAGUAGUUCUGCAUGUUUGGAUCAAAAUUUUUUCUGCAAUGUAGAAUUUGAUUAAACUCUGAUUUUUCAAAACUUGAAAAUAUACAUAGAAAAUUCAGCAAAUAAAAACAAUAGGUUUGUGUGCUUGAUUGUUUGCUAGACUGAUUUGAAAAAUUUGGACCUCACACAAUUUUUCAUAUUAAUGGGAAUCAGAGGGAAAAUUAUAACUUUCGUAACAUUUUCAGGAAUAGAAAUUUUUCUACAAUGUAAUUUUAAUGAAACUCCUUGCAGUUGUAAAUAAACAUAUGGCCUAUAAUGGGGUAAAAUAAAAGGUACAGGUCUAUGUGCUUAUUUUAGAGAUAUUUGACCUUGAUUAAAGUGAACCACACUUUUCACGCUAAUUUUGAGACAUUAUUUUGAAUUAUUUAACGUGUCAGAUGUUUUUAUGUCAUAUCUUAACCUUAGAAAGACAGUAACAGAGUCAUUAUAAUAAAUUUACUCACAGGUUGCUAUUAAUUCAUAAACUGAAUGUCCGUACACAGAAUCCAGGCUUUAUCCUACAUUUUCCGGAUAAUUGUUACGCCAUCACUUCUGAUUAAUCAAACAUGCAGAACUACCCUAAGAUUAUAAUAACUUGCAUUGCAACUAUGUCUGUUCUUUUUAGCUCACCUGUCACAAAGUGACAAGGUGAGCUUUUGUGAUCGCACGGUGUCCGUCGUCUGUGCGUAAACUUUUCCUUGUUGUGUAUUCACAUGAUGUACUGUGAUUAUGUCAGUUUUUGUAUAGUCUAGUGAGAUGUUGUGAUUAUGUAGAUUUGGGAUAUGUCAUUUGAGACAAUGAGAUGUAAAUGUAGAAAUAUUGUGUUACGUUUUGCCUAGGUAACAGCAUUGAGGUAAGGGUAGUCUUGUUGGUUAAGAAUACAAAAUGCAGUAUGUUUUAUCCAAUGUUUGUUUAUAUGCAUGAUGCAUGAUGAAGUUUGGGAUACAUGACAAGAUGUUGUGAUCAUGCUGCUUUAGGUUACAUGAUGCGUGAUGACAUGAUUAUAUUUGUUUUUUAAUACAUAGUGCAAGAUGAUGUGGUCUACUUAAUACAAGAUAUUGUAAUCAUGUUGUUUUGGAUAUAUAAUGCAAGAUGUUGUGAUCAUGCUGGUUUAGAUUACAUAAUGCAAGAUGUAGUGAUUAUGUUUGUUAUGGAUACAGAGUGCAAGAUAUUGUGAUCAUGUUGGAUACAAGAAUCUGUGAUCAUGUUUUUUGUGGAUGCAUGAUGAUGUGAUCACAUUGGUUUAUAAUAUGCAAUGAGGAUGUUUUAAUCUUGUUGGUUUAGGAAUCAUGAUGCAUUAUGUUGUAAUCUUGUUUGUUUUGGCUACAAGAUUUUAUGACUAUGUUGGAUGAAAGAUGUUGUAAUCAUGUUGGUUACAAGAUGAUGUGAUCUUGUUUGUUUUGUAUGCAUAAUGCAAGAUGUAGUGAUUACUUUUGAUGCAAGAUGAUGUGAUCAUGUUGGUUUAGAAAACAUGAUGAAGAUGUUGUUAUCUCCUUGUCUAGGAAACAUGAUGCAAGAUGUUAUGAUCAUGUUGGUUUAGAAAACAUUAUGAAGAUGUUAUCUUCUUGUCUAGGAAACAUGAUGCAACAUGUUGUGAUCACGUUGGUUUAGAAAACAUGAUGAAGAUGUUAUCUUCUUGUGUAGGAAACAUGAUGCAAGAUGUUAUGAUCAUGUUGAUUAAGUUUUGGGAGAUGAUCAUAGGCAGAUAGGUGUAACACAUACAGCCUCUAAGAGCAGCUGACAUUGUCACUCAUCUUGUUCCCUGUAGUGUUAUACAUUAUAAAAUAACUUACAUUUAAAAGAAACUUCUUUCACAUGUCCUUUUGUGUUUUGUUAAACUUGUUUAAUAUAGGGAAAAAAAGAGACUAUUAGGAAGGUUUGUAGUUUUGUUCAUGUGUACUCAUACUUGGUCAAAUCUGUAGGAAUUUUGUGUAUUCAGAUUUAAUUUCUUGGAUUAUUGCAACCAUGAAAUUCAAGAAAAGAUGAUAAUACUUCAGAGUAACUGAUAUUUUAGGUCUACCAAGACAGAAAGGGGAGCAUUGUUCUAGUGGUUAAGUGUAGGCCAUCCAGAAAUUGUGGGUUCAAGCACAACUGGGGUCACAACUAUGCCUUCUCAGUACAAUUUUUUUUUAGGAAGCCAAUUGGAGAGUAGUUCAUUCAAAUAAGCUAUAAGCUUUUUUAUACAAUUGAGUAUAAACUAAAGUCUGUAAGACAAACACAUUGUAUUUUAAAUUUCUUUAACAGUCCCAUUUACAGCAAUGAACAUCAUUUAAAACUGAAGGAAAAUAACAUUAUACUUCUUGCAAUACACAUUAGGAAAGAAUCAAUAUAGUAGCAUGGGUUGUAUUAACUGGAUAUAAACAUUCUGCAACUGAUAAAUGGGGUUGUUUUUUUUGGUGGAAGACUGAAAUUUAUUUCAUGUCAUUGAGAACCUAUUCUAGCUAUGAAUUAAAUGUAGGUAAUUUUUUGAAAGGAUAAUGUUUUGAUCUUUCGCAAAAAAGAGGCAGAUAAUCUUUUAAUUUCAUAACUUUAGUGGCGUUUUUGAGUGAAUUGAAUAAACACCCAGUAUAUGAAGUAUCACAUGGCAAGACUUUCACAUAUCAAACAAAAAUUGUUCUUGUAAGAAUUGUUAAUUUUCUGUUUGUAAGGACAAAACACAUAAAUGCUGAAGAUUUUUUUUUUCUCAUCUUCAGCUUCUCUGGGAUUUUAUUGAAAUGUAACAGUUGAUUAUUUCAUUGAAGUUACAUGUCUCAUUUCAGCAAAAAUUUGUAUUUGAUUUUCUGUAUACUUUUUUACAUACUACAGUUCAUUUUUUUCUCACUAUUUAAGAUUGUACCAUUUAGAGGUGCUUCAGUGUGCUUUGUAUCAGCUGUGCUGGUUAUACAUUAUGUAAUUCAGACUGAAUUACAUACGUAUGUGUUGUUGUUAAGAUAUUUGUUUACCUCUGCAUGUAGUUUCUGCUAGUUGGUGAAGUUAUAUAUGAGCUUUGACCAAUGAUUUACAUAAAAAGAUUUAAAGUUGA